rnacentral:rRNA from 1 species
GUAGGUGGCAAGCGUUGUCCGGAAUUAUUGGGCGUAAAGCGCGCGCAGGCGGUCCUUUAAGUCCGAUGUGAAAGCCCACGGCUCAACCGUGGAGGGUCAUUGGAAACUGGGGGACUUGAGUACAGAAGAGGAAAGCGGAAUUCCAAGUGUAGCGGUGAAAUGCGUAGAGAUUUGGAGGAACACCAGUGGCGAAGGCGGCUUUCUGGUCUGUAACUGACGCUGAGGCGCGAAAGCGUGGGGAGCAAACAGGAUUAGAUACCCUGGUAGUCCACGCCGUAAACGAUGAGUGCUAAGUGUUAGGGGGUUUCCCGCCCCCCUUAGUGCUGCAGCUAACGCAUUAAGCACUCCGCCUGGGGAGUACGGCCGCAAGGCUG